GUGGCCGUAGUUCAGCGGUAGAGCGCCAGAUUGUGAUUCUGGUUGUCGCGGGUUCGAAUCCCGUCGGUCACCCCA
rnacentral:tRNA from 1 species